CUGGCUCAGGAUGAACGCUAGCGACAGGCUAACACAUGCAAGUCGAGGGGCAUCACGGGAGUAGCAAUACAACUGGUGGCGACCGGCGCACGGGUGAGUAACGCGUAUGCAACCUACCUAUCAGAGGGGAAUAACCCGGCGAAAGUCGGACUAAUACCGCAUAAAACAGGGGCACCGCAUGGUGAUAUUUGUUAAAGAAAUUCGCUGAUAGAUGGGCAUGCGUUCCAUUAGGUAGUUGGUGAGGUAACGGCUCACCAAGCCGACGAUGGAUAGGGGAACUGAGAGGUUGGUCCCCCACACUGGUACUGAGACACGGACCAGACUCCUACGGGAGGCAGCAGUGAGGAAUAUUGGUCAAUGGGCGGGAGCCUGAACCAGCCAAGUCGCGUGAAAGGAAGAAGGAUCUAUGGUUCGUAAACUUCUUUUGCAGGGGAAUAAAGUGCAGGACGUGUCCUGUUCUGUAUGUACCCUGAGAAUAAGGAUCGGCUAACUCCGUGCCAGCCGCCGC
rnacentral:rRNA from 1 species